UACGUAGGGGGCAAGCGUUGUCCGGAUUUACUGGGUGUAAAGGGCGCGCAGGCGGAAUAUCAAGUCAGAGGUGAAAUCCUACAGCUUAACUGUAGAACUGCCUUUGAUACUGUUAUUCUUGAGUUCGGGAGAGAGAGACGGAAUUCCAGGUGUAGUGGUGAAAUACGUAGAUAUCUGGAAGAACACCAGUUGCGAAGGCGGUCUCUUGGUCCGAUACUGACGCUGAGGCGCGAAAGCGUGGGGAGCAAAC
rnacentral:rRNA from 1 species